UUAAAUGUCUGAAACCCUAAUUCUCUAUCUCUUUCACCGCUCCGCAUCUUUUUGACCUAAACCUUCAGCCGCUUUCAUUCUUCUCCUUCACGCUUUCUCUUCUCUCCAAACCUUAAACGAUCCUUUCCUUCAUCCAGUUCUUCCUUCAUCGAUGCAUCAAUAUCGCUUAAUCGUCGUUACCACCAGAAACUUGGAUUAUCUUCUUAUUUUUGGUUGUGGAGACAAUCGACAUAAACCCUAAGUUAAGGGUUCUGAUGAUUGGAACAAAAUGUUAAGAGCUUUGUUAGAAAGGGUUUUUUUUUUAUUUGAGGGCUGCGUUUUUGGUUUUGAGUCUGCUUGGAUUUGGCGCAUACUCAAAAAAGGUCUGAUUUGAAUCUGAUUUUUUUUUUUGUGGUGGCCAGCGAUUGACAUACUUGGUAUGGGGAUUGGGGACACCUUCUAUCCUAGCAAUGAAUAAGAUCCUUAUCUUAAAAAUACAAAUGAUAAUGACUCCGAAGAGGCUGAAGACAUGGUCGUCAAACCCGAAGAUGCUGUUGUAUUUUGUGCACAUGUUAAGGAUUAGCAGGGUCGGUUAUUGGUUAAUAUAAUAGAGGACCCGGACGGUGAUUUAGAUCAUUAUGUUCACAAUGAUACUGAUAUCACUGAUUUUCCUCUUUGCAGAGCAUAUCACUUAGGUUUUAUGUUUCAUGUUUAAUUUUUUAUUUGUAGUUUUCAUUGGUAGGGUUAAGGUUAAUUUUUUGGUUGUUAAAAGCCUUACCAGUUUUGUUUUGUUCAAUUCAUAUGAUUUUAGGAGGCAAGAAGGCUUGGAUUUGUUAUAUGUUAUAAAAAGGAAGGUAACACCAAAAAGUGUCAUGUACAUCUUUAGCCCUCUCUUGCUUGACCUUUUUAGUGGGAAACACAAUUCACCUAGCCAUGUAUGUGCCAUCUCCACUCAUGAUAUUCUCACCUAUAUUCAUAAGGUUCACAUAUUGUAGUAUUUCACAUUCAGUUUGGUAAAUGAUUCUUUAUUGCUUAUUUGUUUUUGCAAUGUUGUGAUUAUCCGGACCAUUUGAGAAAUUCUUCAAAAGAAGCUUCAUUGGUUGCUAAGAUCAAUAUUAGUGGAAACUACAAGUUUGAAAAGUUGCUACUAGAGAUUAAACGAUGCGGGUUAAGAGCACUUGUACUAUUCCAGAGAAAUUUGAACUCGAUGGUUGAUUUCUGUUGGGAGAUUCGAAGAAGAAACUGCUUUUUCUCUGGAGAUCUUCAACCACAUGCUAUUUGGCAUUAAAACCAAAGGUGAAAGGAACUAGAGUGGACGAUGUGGUGUAACCACAUGCUAUUUGGCAUUAAAACCAAAGGUGAAAGGAACUAGAGGUGAGUAUUUUGAGGUGGUGUGGUGUAAUGUUUAAUAUUGUGUUUAUAUUUUGUGUGAAUAUUGUGAAUGAGUAUUUGAGUGCUAUUUUUGCAUGAUUUUGAUCGAAGUGGACGAUGUGGUGUAAUAUGUUUGUAUCCAGUUACAUGCAAUGAUGUAUUUGAGCAUAUAUUAAAAAUAAAAAGAUUUUAAAGUUUAGACUGUA